AUCGAAACUCAAACUGUAACAGUCCUUUUAUUACUGGUUUAGAAGAUAGAUAAAUAUUGUUAAGGUAGUGGAUCUCGACAGGGUUGAUAUGAGAACACACGAGCAAUCAACGGCUAUAACGACGCUACGUCAUUGUUACAGCUCUCGUUUCAUGUGUUCUCAGGUCACCCCUGCUGAGCUCUUUCUCUACCGUCCAUGUUUUAUCAACGCCGUGGCCCGUG
rnacentral:misc_RNA from 1 species